AGAGUUUGAUCCUGGCUCAGAAUGAACGCUGGCGGCGUGCCUAACACAUGCAAGUCGAGCGAGAAAUCUCGCCUUCGGGUGGGAGAGUAAAGCGGCGCACGGGUGAGUAACGCGUGGAUAAUCUACCUCCGAGUCUGGAAUAACCCUGCGAAAGCAGGGCUAAUGCCGGAUAACAUUGGGGGCGUCUCGGCAUCCCUGAUCAAAGGUGACCUCUCCUUGGAAGUUGCCGCUUGGAGACGAGUCCGCGUCCCAUUAGCUUGUUGGUAGGGUAAAGGCCUACCAAGGCUACGAUGGGUAGCUGGUCUGAGAGGAUGAUCAGCCACACUGGUACUGGAACACGGGCCAGACUCCUACGGGAGGCAGCAGUGAGGAAUUUUGCGCAAUGGGGGAAACCCUGACGCAGCAACGCCGCGUGGGUGAAGAAGGCCUUCGGGUCGUAAAGCCCUGUCAAGUGGGAAGAAUCCCAGAGGAGUAAUAUGCCUUUUGGGUGACGGUACCACUG
rnacentral:rRNA from 1 species